UACGUAGGGAGCAAGCGUUGUUCGGAUUUACUGGGCGUAAAGGGCGCGUAGGCGGCGCGGUAAGUCACUUGUGAAAUCUCUGAGCUUAACUCAGAACGGCCAAGUGAUACUGCAGUGCUAGAGUGCAGAAGGGGCAAUCGGAAUUCUUGGUGUAGCGGUGAAAUGCGUAGAUAUCAAGAGGAACACCUGAGGUGAAGACGGGUUGCUGGGCUGACACUGACGCUGAGGCGCGAAAGCCAGGGAGCAAACGGG
rnacentral:rRNA from 1 species